GUAGGGGUUAACAUGCCUGCCUGUCACGCAGGAGAUCGCGGGUUCAAAUCCCGUCGGGACCG
rnacentral:tRNA from 1 species